UGAUUUUUGAGAUUUUUCAUUCCACACGCUUCUUCCAACGCAAACCCUAGCAUGGACUCUCCUAUGUUUUUCACAUCUCCAAUCUUCCAAAGCUAUCUAUAAGGUGUCAUCUCCAAAUGAAUCUCUCCUCUUCUAGAUAAGCCGAACACAGUCACUCAGAAGGCCUCAAGUACUCUAUCGUUGGGCUCGCAUAUGAACAGGCGCUUCAUUUCCUUGCUUCGACGAACUACCGUGGGGAUUUGGCUCUAAAGCCAUCGUCCUUGAAGCAAGUCAAGGAAUACUGUUAUCUGUACAGCCUUCUCGAGCUGCAGAGCUCUUUUCAUACUUGGUUGAGCUUCAGACUUUCCCUGAAACACUCUUUCGUGUACAAGACACGUCAUUUGCACCCCUAAAGAUCUUGUUUUCAGAUUGAAGGGUGGCUAUGGUAUUGGGGACCAUCGAUUGGUAAUCAGAUUACAUCACCCUGUGCCACAGUGAAUUAUUAUGUAAAUUUCAACCUACCAUUUCCUUCUUGAUUUUAUCAAAGGAAGUUUGGAAGUCUCAGCAAGGAAUUUUUUCCCAUCGGUUUGUAUGUCUUUGACUUCUUUUGCUUUUUAACAUAUUGAUCGUUUUCAAUUUCCGUUGCAGGUAGAAUGGGGUUAUGUAGAAUACUAUAAAUCUUGAUUAUUAUUUGAUUUAUUGACUAUCAAAUUUUACUUUUGGACUGCUUUUUGAAUAGUGUUGCGCUAAUGAUCACAUUUUUUUUUUGUUGUUAAAGAUAUGUUGGUUGUCACAAGUUGAUUUUAUAUUGUUCAUUUUGGAUGCAAUUGACAGUUUAGAAUUUGUUUACUGGGAAAUGGACAUUUUGAUAACUGGGUUGAUUUUGGGGUGGUGACACAUGAUAGAGAAGCAGAUGGACCCAGGUAAAAUUUAGCUCUUAUUGAAAACAAUCAAAAUUCCUUUCCAUUGAAAUUCAUAUUUGAGGAUAAGGAACUUCCCAUCUCCACUAGAGAAAUCAGAAUGAGAGAUAGAACUUGAAUCUCUUUUUUGUGAUUCAAAUUCUUUCUUGAUUUGAUUUCAGAAAAUGGACAAGGGACAGUGACCAAAGGUGCAAUCAUUGUAGCUGAGAAAGGAGUUUCUCUGUGUCGUUGAUAUACAACUUAUGUCUUUUUUUUGUAUGUUCACCUAUUAGUGAUUUGCAACAGUGAAAUUGUAAUACAAGUUUGUAAAGCUAUUCUUUGUUAACACUAAAUUCUUAGAGCAUAUUGAUAUGUGUCAGACAAGUAUUGAGUUUCAAGAAUAUUAGUGGUUGAUCCUCUUUGGAAAGUUAUUCUAUAAAUGAAUAUUUGAAAUUAA